CCUACGGGGGGCUGCAGUGGGGAAUAUUGGACAAUGGGGGCAACCCUGAUCCAGCCAUGCCGCGUGUGUGAAGAAGGCCCUCGGGUUGUAAAGCACUUUCAGUGAGGAAGAACGCCUGGUGGUUAAUACCCAUCAGGAAAGACAUCACUCACAGAAGAAGCACCGGCUAACUCCGUGCCAGCAGCCGCGGUAAUACGGAGGGUGCGAGCGUUAAUCGGAAUUACUGGGCGUAAAGCGCGCGUAGGUGGCUUGAUAAGCCGGUUGUGAAAGCCCCGGGCUCAACCUGGGAACGGCAUCCGGAACUGUCAAGCUAGAGUGCAGGAGAGGAAGGUAGAAUUCCCGGUGUAGCGGUGAAAUGCGUAGAGAUCGGGAGGAAUACCAGUGGCGAAGGCGGCCUUCUGGACUGACACUGCCACUGAGGUGCGAAAGCGUGGGUAGCAAACAGGAUUAGAUACCCUAGUAGUC
rnacentral:rRNA from 1 species